rnacentral:rRNA from 1 species
UACGGGGGGGGCAAGCGUUGUUCGGAAUUACUGGGCGUAAAGGGCUCGUAGGUGGCCAACUAAGUCAGACGUGAAAUCCCUCGGCUUAACCGGGGAACUGCGUCUGAUACUGGAUGGCUUGAGUUCGGGAGAGGGAUGCGGAAUUCCAGGUGUAGCGGUGGAAUGCGUAGAUAUCUGGAGGAACACCGGCGGCGAAGGCGGCAUCCUGGACCGACACUGACACUGAGGAGCGAAAGCCAGGGGAGCAAACGGG